rnacentral:rRNA from 1 species
AGUGAACGCUGGCGGCAGGCCUAAUACAUGCAAGUCGAACGGCAGCACAGUGGAGCUUGCUCCAUGGGUGGCGAGUGGCGGACGGGUGAGGAAUACAUGGGAAUCUGCCCAGUCGUGGGGGAUAACGUAGGGAAACUUACGCUAAUACCGCAUGCGCCCUUCGGGGGAAAGCCGGGGACCUUCGGGCCUGGCGCGAUUGGAUGAGCCCAUGUUCGAUUAGCUAGUUGGCGGGGUAAAGGCCCACCAAGGCGACGAUCGAUAGCUGGUCUGAGAGGAUGAUCAGCCACACUGGGACUGAGACACGGCCCAGACUCCUGCGGGAGGUAGCAGUAGGGAAUAUUGGACAAUGGGCGCAAGCCUGAUCCAGCCAUGCCGCGUGAGUGAAGAAGGCCCUCGGGUUGUAAAGCUCUUUUGUCCGGGAAGAAAAGCAUCGGGCUAAUACCUCGGUGUUCUGACGGUACCGGAAGAAUAAGCACCGGCUAACUUCGUG